rnacentral:rRNA from 1 species
AAUGAACGUUGGCGGCGUGGAUUAGGCAUGCAAGUCGCGCGAGAAAUUUUCUUCGGAGAAUGGAAAGCGGCGGAAGGGAGAGGAUAAGGUAGAAAUCUACCCUCGGGACGGGGAUAGCUGCGGGAAACUGCUGGUAAUACCCGAUAAUAUCUUUGGAUCAAAGGUGUGAUUCCGCCUGAGGAUGAGUCUACUUCCUAUUAGCUAGUUGGCAGGGUAAUGGCCUACCAAGGCAACGAUGGGUAGCGGGUGUGAGAGCAUGACCCGCCUCACUGGGACUGAGACCGGCCCAGACACCUACGGGUGGCUGCAGUCGAGAAGCUUCGGCAAUGGGCGCAAGCCUGACCGAGCGACGCCGCGUGCGGGAUGAAGGCCUUCGGGUUGUAAACCGCUGUCGUAGAGGAGCAAAUGCAUGGGGGUUCUCCCCUGUGCUUGAGUGAUUCUAGGAGGAAGGGGAGGCUAAGCUCGUGCCAGCCGCCGCAGUAA